rnacentral:rRNA from 1 species
AUGAAGGGGAGUCGUGCUCCGGGACCGGAUGGAUUCACUGGAACAUUCUAUAAGCAAUGUUGGGCAACGAUUAAAGAUGACCUUUUGGCCACCCUACAAGCUGUGCAUACCAACGACACCACUCACCUGCACCGUCUCAACCAAGCCACCAUGGUGCUUCUUCCCAAGAAUCCCGAGGCGCUGCAACCCAAGGACUACAGGCCCAUCAGCUUGAUCUAUAGCUUCGCUAAAUUGGUCACUAAAAUCCUUGCGGCUCGGUUGCAGAGGAGGAUGCUGGAGCUUGUUAGACCCUACCAGAAGGCCUUCAUCAGGGGAAGGACCAUUCACGACAGUUUCAACUAUGUCAGCGGCCUUGCAAGGGCGUUUCGUAGGGCAAAGACGCCUGCCCUCAUGGUUAAGUUGGACAUCCAGCGGGCUUUUGACACGGUGUCCUGGGAAUUUCUUAUGAAGUUGCUCGAGGCUCGAGGUGUGGGCCGGAGGGUGAUAGACAUGUUGGCAGCUUUGCUUCGCUCCUCCACCACCAAUAUCCUUGUCAAUGGGGAGCUAUCGGACAACAUCAGCCAUAGAAGGGGCCUACGACAGGGGGACCCCCUAUCACCCCUCCUGUUUGUCAUCGUCAUGGACUGCUUGGCGGCAAUGAGGCUGUGCAACUAG